rnacentral:rRNA from 1 species
UACGUAGGGUGCGAGCGUUAAUCGGAAUUACUGGGCGUAAAGGGCGCGUAGGCGGGGAGGUAAGUCGGGUGUGAAAUCCCUCGGCCCAACCGAGGAACUGCGCCCGAGACUGCUUCUCUUGAGUCCCGGAGAGGAAGGUGGAAUUCCCGGUGUAGCGGUGAAAUGUGUAGAGAUCGGGAGGAACACCGGUGGCGAAGGCGGCCUUCUGGACGGUGACUGACGCUGAGGCGCGAAAGCGUGGGGAGCAAACGGG